rnacentral:rRNA from 1 species
GACGAACGCUGGCGGCGUGCUUAACACAUGCAAGUCGAACGGAAAGGCCCUGCUUUUGUGGGGUGCUCGAGUGGCGAACGGGUGAGUAACACGUGAGUAACCUGCCCUUGACUUUGGGAUAACUUCAGGAAACUGGGGCUAAUACCGGAUAGGAGCUCCUGCUGCAUGGUGGGGGUUGGAAAGUUUCGGCGGUUGGGGAUGGACUCGCGGCUUAUCAGCUUGUUGGUGGGGUAGUGGCUUACCAAGGCUUUGACGGGUAGCCGGCCUGGGAGGGUGGCCGGCCACAUUACGCCUGAGAUACGGCCCAGACUCCUACGGGAGGCAGCAGUGGGGAAUAUUGCACAAUGGGCGGACGCCUGAUGCAGCAACGCCGCGUGCGGGAUGACGGCCUUCGGGUUGUAAACCGCUUUCGCCUGUGACGAGGCGUGAGUGACGGUAAUGGGUAAAGAAGCACCGGCUAACUACGUG